rnacentral:rRNA from 1 species
AGAGUUUGAUCAUGGCUCAGGACGAACGCUGGCGGCGUGCCUAACACAUGCAAGUCGAACGGGGUGAGGCCCUUCGGGACCUUACCUAGUGGCGAACGGGUGAGUAACGCGUGAGGAACCUGCCUUUCAGUGGGGGACAACAGUUGGAAACGACUGCUAAUACCGCAUGAAGCUUUUGGGAGACAUCUCCUGGAAGCCAAAGCUUAAUGUGCUGAAAGAUGGCCUCGCGUCUGAUUAGCCAGUUGGUGGGGUAACGGCCCACCAAGGCGACGAUCAGUAGCCGGUCUGAGAGGAUGAACGGCCACAUUGGGACUGAGAUACGGCCCAGACUCCUACGGGAGGCAGCAGUGGGGAAUAUUGGGCAAUGGGCGAAAGCCUGACCCAGCAACGCCGCGUGAAGGAAGAAGGCCUUCGGGUUGUAAACUUCUUUUACCAGGGACGAAGGACGUGACGGUACCUGGAGAAAAAGCAACGGCUAACUACGUGCCAGCAGCCGCGGUAAUACGUAGGUUGCAAGCGUUGUCCGGAUUUACUGGGUGUAAAGGGCGUGUAGGCGGAGAUGCAAGUUAGGAGUGAAAUCUAUGGGCUCAACCCAUAAACUGCUUCUAAAACUGUAUCCCUUGAGUAUCGGAGAGGCAAGUGGAAUUCCUAGUGUAGCGGUGAAAUGCGUAGAUAUUAGGAGGAACACCAGUGGCGAAGGCGGCUUGCUGGACGACAACUGACGCUGAGGCGCGAAAGCGUGGGGAGCAAACAGGAUUAGAUACCCUGGUAGUCCACGCUGUAAACGAUGAAUACUAGGUGUGGGGGGACUGACCCCCUCCGUGCCGCAGUUAACACAAUAAGUAUUCCACCUGGGGAGUACGACCGCAAGGUUGAAACUCAAAGGAAUUGACGGGGGCCCGCACAAGCAGUGGAUUAUGUGGUUUAAUUCGACGCAACGCGAAGAACCUUACCAGGACUUGACAUCCAACUAACGAAGUAGAGAUACAUCAGGUGCCCUUCGGGGAAAGUUGAGACAGGUGGUGCAUGGUUGUCGUCAGCUCGUGUCGUGAGAUGUUGGGUUAAGUCCCGAACGAGCGCAACCCCUAUUGUUAGUUGCUACGAAAGAGCACUCUAGCGAGACUGCCGUUGACAAAACGGAGGAAGGCGGGGACGACGUCAAAUCAUCAUGCCCCUUAUGUCCUGGGCUACACACGUAAUACAAUGGUGGCCAACAGAGGGAAGCGAAGCCGUGAGGCAGAGCAAAUCCCUAAAAGCCAUCUCAGUUCGGAUUGCAGGCUGCAACUCGCCUGCAUGAAGCUGGAAUUGCUAGUAAUCGCGGAUCAGCAUGCCGCGGUGAAUACGUUCCCGGGCCUUGUACACACCGCCCGUCACACCAUGAGAGUCGGGAACACCCGAAGUCCGUAGUCUAACCGCAAGGGGGGCGCGGCCGAAGGUGGGUCCGGUAAUUGGGGUGAAGUCGUAACAAGGUA